GACAGAGGGUGCAAACGUUGUUCGGAAUUACUGGGCGUAAAGCGAGUGUAGGCGGUCUGUAAAGUCGGGUGUGAAAGCCCCGGGCUCAACCCGGGAAGUGCACUCGAAACUCACAGGCUAGAGUAUCGGAGAGGUUGGUGGAAUUCUCGGUGUAGAGGUGAAAUUCGUAGAUAUCGAGAGGAACACCGGUGGCGAAGGCGGCCAACUGGACGAAUACUGACGCUGAGGUGCGAAAGCGUGGGGAGCAAACAGG
rnacentral:rRNA from 1 species